GAUGAACGCUGGCGGCGUGCCUAAUACAUGCAAGUCGAACGCAUUGUGGUUGAAAUGAUAUGAAGAACUUGUUCAGAUUUGAUUUUCAACAUUGCAAUGAGUGGCGAACGGGUGAGUAACACGUGGGAAACCUACCUCUUAGCAGGGGAUAACAUUUGGAAACAAAUGCUAAUACCGUAUAAUAAUUAAAACCGCAUGGUUUUAGUUUAAAAGAUGGUCUUGCUAUCACUAAGAGAUGGUCCCGCGGUGUAUUAGUUAGUUGGUGAGGUAAUGGCUCACCAAGACAAUGAUACAUAGCCGAGUUGAGAGACUGACCGGCCACAAUGGGACUGAGACACGGCCCAUACUCCUACGGGAGGCAGCAGUAGGGGAAUCUUCCACAAUGGACGAAAGUCUGAUGGAGCAACGCCGCGUGUGUGAUGAAGGUUUCGGCUCGUAAAACACUGUUGUAAGAGAAGAAUGACAUUGAGAGUAACUGUUCGAAUAGUGUGACGGUAUC
rnacentral:rRNA from 1 species